rnacentral:rRNA from 1 species
UACAGAGGUCUCAAGCGUUGUUCGGAUUCAUUGGGCGUAAAGGGUGCGUAGGCGGCGCGGUAAGUCGGGUGUGAAAUCUCGGAGCUUAACUCCGAAACUGCAUUCGAUACUGCCGUGCUUGAGGACUGGAGAGGAGACUGGAAUUUACGGUGUAGCGGUGAAAUGCGUAGAUAUCAGGAGGAACACCGGUGGCGAAGGCGGGUCUCUGGGCCGAUACUGACGCUGAGGAGCGAAAGCAUGGGGAGCGAACAGG